rnacentral:lncRNA from 1 species
AGUGUUUGCAGCUUCUCUGUUCCCUUUCCACCAGGGGUUACCUCCUGCUGGCUGACCCCUUCCUGUGCUGCGGGCUGGAAUAUAGGGUUUAACCCUGUUAUAACCCAGAGGAACACAAAAGGAGGAACAUCAGGCUUUAUGGAGAGACUGGAAAUGAAGUGGAGGUUUUCCUUGCUCAUGAAACCUGGCUCACCCUACAGUCCCUGUGCUAGGCCUGCACAGACAUCAGCUCGCUGAUCACUACGAGAACCUCAACUCUUCUCCCCAUUUCAUGAGGACACCGAGGCUCAGAGGUGUUCGUGAUACUCAAGAUCACACUGCCAGAGCGUG